GCUGCCAUAUCAUUGAAACAACGGUUCCCGUACGAUCACCGAAGCUAAAUAACGUCGAGCUUGGUUAGUAUAUAGGCGGGUGACCAUUUGGAAAUACCAGGUGUCGUAAG